rnacentral:rRNA from 1 species
CCUGUUGUUUCGCCAGAAGCAUCGCAGGGUAGCUAUGUACGGAAGAGAUAACCGCUGAAAGCAUCUAAGCGGGAAACUUGCCUGAAGAUGAGAUUUCCCGGAGGUUUAACCUCCAUGAAGGGUCGUUGAAGACCACGACGUUGAUAGGUCAGGUGUGGAAGCGCAGUAAUGCGUUAAGCUAACUGAUACUAAUUGCCCGUUAGGCUUGAUCCUAUAACC